rnacentral:rRNA from 1 species
GUGGGGAAUCUUAGACAAUGGGGGAAACCCUGAUCUAGCCAUGCCGCGUGAGCGAUGAAGGCCUUAGGGUUGUAAAGCUCUUUCAGCUGGGAAGAUAAUGACUGUACCAGCAGAAGAAGCCCCGGCUAACUCCGUGCCAGCAGCCGCGGUAAUACGGAGGGGGCUAGCGUUGUUCGGAAUUACUGGGCGUAAAGCGCACGUAGGCGGACCGGAAAGUCAGAGGUGAAAUCCCAGGGCUCAACCUUGGAACUGCCUUUGAAACUCCUGGUCUUGAGGUCGAGAGAGGUGAGUGGAAUUCCGAGUGUAGAGGUGAAAUUCGUAGAUAUUCGGAGGAACACCAGUGGCGAAGGCGGCUCACUGGCUCGAUACUGACGCUGAGGAGCGAAAGCUAGGGGAGCAAACGGGAUUAGAAACCCUGGUAGUCC